rnacentral:rRNA from 1 species
GACGAACGCUGGCGGCGUGCUUAACACAUGCAAGUCGAACGCGCCUGUCCUCUGGGUUUCUGGGGGGUGGGUGAGUGGCGAACGGGUGAGUAACACGUGAGUAACCUGCCCCCUUCUUCGGGAUCACGGUCUGAAAGGGCUGCUAAUACCGGGUAUUCACUGGUCUCCGCAUGGGGUCUGGUGGAAAGGUUUUUUUCUGGUGGGGGAUGGGCUCGCGGCCUAUCAGCUUGUUGGUGGGGUGAUGGCCCACCAAGGCUUUGACGGGUAGCCGGCCUGAGAGGGUGACCGGUCACAUUGGGACUGAGAUACGGCCCAGACUCCUACGGGAGGCAGCAGUGGGGAAUAUUGCACAAUGGGCGCAAGCCUGAUGCAGCGACGCCGCGUGAGGGAUGGAGGCCGUCGGGUUGUGAACCUCUUUCGCCCGUGGUCAAGCCGCGACGUGGGUCGUGGUGAGGGUAGUGGGUAAAGAAGCGCCGGCUAACUACGUG